GACGAACGCUGGCGGCGUGCUUAACACAUGCAAGUCGAGCGGUAAGGCCCCUUCGGGGGUACACGAGCGGCGAACGGGUGAGUAACACGUGGGUGACCUGCCCUCAGCUCUGGGAUAAGCCUGGGAAACUGGGUCUAAUACCGGAUAUGACUCCAUGACGCAUGUCGUGGGGUGGAAAGCCUUGUGCGGCUGGGGGAUGGGGCCCGCGGCCUAUCAGCUUGUUGGUGGGGUGAUGGCCUACCAAGGCGACGACGGGUAGCCGGCCUGAGAGGGCGACCGGCCACACUGGGACUGAGACACGGCCCAGACUCCUACGGGAGGCAGCAGUGGGGAAUAUUGGACAAUGGGCGCAAGCCUGAUCCAGCCAUGCCGCGUGAGUGAUGAAGGCCUC
rnacentral:rRNA from 1 species